rnacentral:rRNA from 1 species
UACGGAGGGGGCUAGCGUUGUUCGGAAUUACUGGGCGUAAAGCGCACGUAGGCGGCUUUGCAAGUUAGAGGUGAAAGCCCGGGGCUCAACUCCGGAAUUGCCUUUAAAACUGCAUCGCUAGAAUUGUGGAGAGGUAAGUGGAAUUCCCGGUGUAGCGGUGAAAUGCGUAGAGAUCGGGAGGAACACCAGUGGCGAAGGCGGCUACCUGGACCAGCACUGACACUGAGGCACGAAAGCGUGGGGAGCAAACAGG